rnacentral:rRNA from 1 species
CCUACGGGAGGCAGCAGUGAGGAAUAUUGGUCAAUGGGCGCGAGCCUGAACCAGCCAAGUAGCGUGAAGGAUGACUGCCCUACGGGUUGUAAACUUCUUUUAUAAAGGAAUAAAGUGAGGCACGUGUGCCUUUUUGUCUGUACUUUAUGAAUAAGCAUCGGCUAACUCCGUGCCAGCAGCCGCGGUAAUCCGGGGGAUCCGAGCGUUAUCCGGAUUUAUUGGGUUUAAAGGGAGCGUAGAUGGGUUGUUAAGUCAGUUGUGAAAGUUUGCGGCUCAACCGUAAAAUUGCAAUUUAUACUGGCAGGCGUGAGUACAGUUGAGGUAGGCGGAAUUCGUGGUGUAGCGGUGAAAUGCUUAGAUAUCACGAAGAACUCCGAUAGCGAAGGCAGCUUACUAAACUGCCACUGACAUUGAUGCUCGAAAGUGUGGGUAGCAAACAGGAUUAGAUACCCUUGUAGUC